rnacentral:tRNA from 2 species
GCGGCUGUGGUGGAAUUGGCAUACACAGCAGACUUAAAAUCUGCCGGGGAAACCUUGGGGGUUCGAGUCCCCCCAGCCGCACCA